ensembl:lncRNA
UUUCAGUUAAUGACCCGGAUGAAGCCUGUCCUUCAAACACAGGUAAGUGGUCUCUGCUGAAGUCACUGGGAUCUUGGCACAUGCUCAUGAAGGUGGAGGUUGCCCAUCUUUAUUACUCACUAAAUUAUGUCUUAGAAUCUACUGUGUUAUUUCUGCUUGCACCAGGACUUAGAGAUUGCUGCAUAUUUAAAAAUAAAAAAUAAAAACAACUUAAAUCUACCAGACAAUGGUGUCUAGUCACGAAUAAAAAAGAAAAAAAAAAAAAGCUUUACAGUGAUAUGAAGGUAAAGAAAUGAGUUCCAUAUGGCUGUGUGUGUUUAAGAGCACAGAUUUAGCAGGGAGGCAAUGGGGGCUGGGACCCUUUAAUUUCUGCUAUGCUCUGUGUCACAGUGAUGAGGGAAAGUUCUUGCUGGCACCAACGCGUUGCACCUAGCCCUGCUAUGAGAUACCCACUCUCCAGUGUCCUGCCUAUCCCACGUGCUCUGAGUUUCUCAGCCUGAGUAAAUCAUUUUUCACUCAGCUACCAAAGAUUUUUAUGCUUGUGGUUUCCCAGAGUCAAAUCCUUGGUGUUGGUCAGAAGAUGUCACGUAUGUGCAUGUCAUUUACCUUGUAAACCACAACUUUUUAAAGAAGCAGAUGCAAAGUAUGUAGGAGAACUAAGAGCGCUGACCCAAUCACAACAGCAAUCUCUUUUUAGAUCGUUACAGUAUGUAACAUCUCUGAGUGAAAUGGAGUUAAUCAUCCAAACCUGUAAUUUUCAAGUAAUCUCCAAUUCUGGAUUGUUGUUAUGUCAUUACCAGCAGUAGCCAGCAUUUGCAAAGGAGGCAGCAGAGAGUUUCUGUUAAAAUGAAAUCAAAAAUAUUUUUUAUCAGUGGCAUGUUUAAAAGCUGAAGCAUCUGAAUGCUUUUUUGCAGUCUGUAUCAGAGAGUCAUACCUGGUGAAUCUCUGCCUAAAUCAGUGGCAGCAGAGGGAGCGUGUAACAAAGAAGAGAAAAAAUCGCCUCGUGUAAGAUUAUGGAAAUGCCAUGCAAGAGGCAUAACACGGCUGUGUCCCGAUCGGGCCAAGUACCCUUUGGAGAAGUUUUGCUCCAGAUGCAUCAGCUCAGGGCGGCUGCUGCUACCGAGGAGUCCCGAGAUGCUCCAGCCUUCUCCAUCCAUGUACCACAGGGGACCCACGGUGCAUUCCGGGAGCCAAACGCAUGACUCAGAUCUCUGUUCCUCCAGCGGCUCGAACUGCACGCUGCUGGUAGCUCUGCACCAAACCAAACCCGUGCUGGACCCAGCAAAACCUCUCCUGGUCAGUGGCGGAGGAAGCACAAGCACACGUAGCUCUGCACGGCUACCCCACAGGUACGGCUCUCCAGCGCCUGUCCCAUCACCCUGGUGGCUUUCUGGGCUGCUCUGGGUACAUCCGAGGAGCACUGCUGUCUGCUCAGGGUUGCCACCAGGGCAACCAGAUAACGGGGACCCUGCCAAAAGGCGCUCGAUCCCCUUAGGAAAAAAAAAAAACAAACAAGCCUACUUCCCAAGCUCAGCCUCUUCUGCCUCCUGUUUGAACCCCCGAAGCUCCAGCCCUGCAUGAGGGACAGCAGAGCCACCGGAAGGUCUCCCAGCCCCCCGGGGGGGUUGUGGCAGAGCCUCCCCACCACCCUUGGGGCUCUGGCCGCCGCCGGCCACCCGCCACCCAGCCGCUUCCAGGAAGCCAGCCCCGUCGCGCCGUCUGGGGCCGCCGGCGGCUCCGCGGCCGUGCCCUUGGCUGCCGGCCACGGUGGGAGGCCCCCGCGGUUCUCCCGGCUUUGGGCGGCCGCCCGCGGGGGUCCCCAACGCCUCCCCUGCACACCCAGCAACCGGGGGGAGAGCGAGGAGGGGGGCUGGGGUGAAAGCUUGAAUUCCAUCCCCCUGCCAGCCCCAGCUUUGAGCCCAGCGGGAGGAAAGAGGGGAGGCAGAGGGCUUGCUCUGCUCCGGCAGCGCUUCUCUAAUGCGGUUACACGGGCUCGAAAUGAGCGUUUACCGCUGGAAAACGCUGCUGCUGGUACCUCUGCUCCUCCAGAGCGCCAGAUCUGUGUGUUUGAAAUGGCCAGGCCACUGGAGGAGCAAAGACUCAAAAAAAAAAAAAAAAAAAAUCGAAUUUCUAAGAGCAAAUCCUUUUAUUGAGCAUGUGUGUGGCUUUCUGUGGUGCUGGGAACCUACAGUUCCCAUAUAAAACUCGGCUCCUAAUUCUUCCCUGCCUUUUCCCUUCCCCAGGCUCUGUCCAUUGUUCUUGCUUGGCUCCAUCGCUGAGUCCGUGGCAAACUUUUGUCCAUAUGUCUCCCCAGGAGCCAUCCGAGGUGUAGGUCGGGCUGUUAUUAUCCCUGCUUGGGAGAAAGGAAACUGAAACACGCCUCAGGUCACCCGAGGAAAUCUGUGCUGGAUUAGCACCUGAAUCAUUUGUUCUGGUCACAGAAAUGCUAAUUUCAUUAGCAUUUCAACAUCUGAGCAGAGCCCUGAGUGAUAUGGCCACGAAGAUGCAGGUAUUUCCAGCCCCAGUCCUACCCCACUAAGCUUAGCGGUGAAUUUCUUUGGCAGUGGAUUGAAAUCUAACCAAAUAUUUUCUUUGGGCUUGGUUCUCCUUUCAUUGGCAUUGUUUUAUGCAGAACUG